GCGCUCCGGGCGCUCGAGGAGGACGGCGCGGGGAGGGCGCGCGGCUGGGGGGAGCGCACGGGGGCCCGUGCUCCGGGUGCCCUGGGAGGCGCACGGGCCGGCCGGGCGCGGCGGGCGCGCCACCUCCUGGGGCACCAGGGGCGCUUCCGCGCUCGGUCAGGAAGGAGGCUCAGAAAGCGGCCGGGCGGGACGCUGCCCCCGUGCGCCGCCCCGUCCCCUUCGCGGGUGCCCUCCUCCGCCAGCCGGGCGGACGCCCCUCGGGCCCGCGCGCUCCGCUCCUUUGUUCGGGGGCCGUUCCGCACAGCGGCCGGGGCGGCGGGCGUCGAGACGGCCAGGGUCCGGGCGGCGGGGCGCCUGGCGGGGACAAUGAGGCCGUGCGGCCGCGCGCGCGGAGGGUUUCCUCCGGGUCCUCGCGGUGCCGGGGGCGAGCCCGGGGCUGGAAGGCAGGGGCCUCCCGGGUGCUCCCCGCGUGGUCCGGGAAGAGCGAGCGAGCGCCGGAGCCUCGGCUUGCUUUCCUGGGGAGCCAUCCCCGCCCCGCCCGGCCCCUGGGUUCAGGGGCUCCACUGUGACAAUGGACGGGAGCGCGCUUGGUCGUCAGCGGACAGUUACGGGAGCGCCAGGCGCACGCCCGUCCCCGCCCCGCCCGCUCACCUGGAGCUGUCAGGGGAAGAGGUGCUGAUUACUUCCUUGGGGAGAUGAGGCUCGCCAGCCUUACAACGGUUAUUUCCUCAGGAUGUUUACGUCAGCUCCCCGAGCCUGGGGUUUGUUUUCUUCAAAGGGAAGGUUUGACGGAGGGGCCUGGGGUGGGAGCGCUGAGUCCUCCUAGAGAGCCACCCCCUAGAGCUCCCAUACAGAAUUUUUUGACCUGGUUUAUGGACUCAAGUCCAACUAAUUCGAGAAUGAGGAGGGAGUGCCCUUGGGGAUUCCUGCCCGGAUGGAGGGCUCCGAGUGAAGGAUCCUGCUUUACUCCUGCAGAGGGGGCGCAGCCUGGGCCCCCACUCAGGGCCUGUGGACACCAAGGCAGGAGGGAGAAGGCUCCCCAGGCCUCAGCGUUUGCAUCUUGCCGACACAACAGGCCACUUUCUGGCCUCUCAGCUCUGUGUCUAGGAAUUUAGUAGCCUCCCGAUCGGGCCAACUGAGGGGUUUUUCCCAAACAACACGCUGGAGGUAAAGUUUCACCACUCCUGAGGCCUGUAGACGGGUAAAGGGGGCCUCCCCGCGGGGGAACAGGCCUGCCAUCCAUCCUCCCCUCCAGCCUGCGGUGCUGGACUUCAGGUGGUUGAUCAGAAGCCUGUUGAGAGGGUUGGGUGCUUCAGAGGCCCCCGGAGCAUGGGGCUCAUUCCCAGGUGGGUAAACGCAACACUUUGCGGAAGUGACAUGUUUAAUGUCUUUCUUCCCUACUAGAUGGUGGAGGCAGAGCUGUGCCUGCAGGUGACUGCAGACGUUCAGUGAAUCACACGUCUUAGCCACAUGAAGGAUCAGCUACAGCUCUGAGCCGAGGAGUGCACAGGAAGCUGCCUGCCCUGAGGGGCCCAAGUGCCCUGCGGCUCAGGUCGCCCUCCACAGACCAGAAGGCCUCAGCAAACCUGCAGAGAUCAGCGUGGUCUUCUGAAGACAUCCGUGGAGUCGAAGGCCCUCCUGCGAGGCCAGGAGGGUGAUGAUUAUGGUGAAGAGAGAGGCCUCAAACUAUUUUGCACACAUCUUGCUUACUUUUGCAAAGUGAAUAGCUGGCAAAAGAAACUAAAAUCCUCAUGGGAACACCAGCGCACCCUGUGUCAACUCGUUGAACAUUCCCCGAGCACCUGCACGCUGUGUCACAGGCACAGCAGAACGUGCUGAUGACACAGAAGUGGACGAGGCAGAAGGCGCCUUCCCCUGGAACCCUGGUCACGUCCAAACCCGGCCACACAGCAGGCUGAGUGCCCAAAGAGGGUCCUGGGAAGAUUUCCCAGUCGUGCUUCCCAAGAAUGAGGAGUGAGAAUUAACUGAGCCCAGUGCCUAGCGUGGAAUCAGCAUCGUGUCUAGUAGGAACUCGUUGUAGGUUGAACCCCUAUCUAGGAAGCUGGCGAAAACCAUAGAAGGUUAGACUCUCAAGAUGGUGGAGAGCGUGUGGCCACCUGACAGCGAGCACACAGAAGGCCAGCAACAGGGUGCGGCCGACCAGACACCAAGUGCUGGUCCUCAGCGGAGCCGGGCUGGGGGCCGGGGCUCUGACCUGCAUGAAGAGCUCUGCUCUUGCACAGUGUGAGGAGACCUGGGACUGCCUAGUGAGCCCCUCCCUGUUCCACAGGGUAAGCACAGGGCAGUCCCACUGUCAGAGUUGCCAGGUCAAAGCGGGGAGGACCCCUACACCUGCUCCCAAAUCUGGGCAGAGCAUGAGGAAGGACAGCGAGCCCCGCUCGCCUCCCCCCCAGGCUCCUCCCCUGACCUGGACAGUGCCCCUUGGUGAAGGCGCUGUCUCAGAGCCACGUGUCGCUGCUUGGGGGAGACGGGUGAGGCCCAGCAGCAAAGGUCCAGCCACAGCCAUGCUGUCUGCUCUAGAGGGACUGCCGUAUGUGGAAAUAAAACAAGGGGAACCGUGUGCAUUGGCGACGACACAAGUCAGUCACAGUGACCUGGGUCGUUGGUCAUCCCAGUCUCACAGUGUACCCAUAGGUCUUGCUGUCAUUUCUAUUACAUAAAUUGACUGCCCAAGGUCACAUUUCCAGGAAAAUUUGGAACUAGGAUUAGAAUCCAGUGACUCUAGAAUCCAAGCUCCAGCCAACCUUCUCAAACAGAAGUCUGUCCAGGAAAAGACAGCCAGGGUUGGGAAAACACUCAAAAUUACGACGUGAGAGAAACAACGGAAGGGACUCUGACUCUCCUGACAGAGGAAAGUCUUGGGGUAAAAUGUGUUCCUCAGAGUUGAGAAUGACAAACAGACUUGAAACAACAGUAAUGAGUUAAAUAAAAUAAAAGAUAAAGUGUGCUGAGAAAUACAGUUUAAAAAA